CAGAAGAUGAAAGAAAAUAAGAGGGAUCCAGAGCCACACUUUGAUGUGUCUGAUGUGAUGGGAACCUUAUCCACAUGUUAACUGAUGAUGAAGAGGAGGAGGGGGUUUGAUGUUGUGGUGGCUCUCCUCUUUGAAUCCUGCACAGCUCCUGGCUCUUCUGUUCUAUCAUGAAUGCUGUGCAGCAUGUGAGAGAUGGGGAAUCUCAGGAGAGCUGGGAGGAUGAACAGAGAGGCCCAUGUGGGUAAGUACAUUCAGAGUUAUUGGAUACUUCUUAAACUAUAUAUUGUGUCACUCAUACACACAAUUACAUCUCAAUGAGUUCCACAAGGGAUGUAUCCACCUGCAACAUGUAGAAAUGGUCAUUUAAUGCACAUUGUUAUGAAAUAAAGAUCUAUUGUUCCUUCUUUGAAAUAAAACAAAUUUGUGUUGUCUGUUUAUUCUCACAAUUAGCAGCUGUUUUAUGUCCUUUCAGAACCAUUUCUCUCAAAAUGUUGAAAAAGCCAAAAAAACAUUUUGUGGGACAUUUUUGGAAUGAGAUAAUUCAUUUGUUUGAAGUAUUUCCUUUGAAAAGGUUUAGUCCUGUAAUGUGCCUUACUCUUUUGUUUCAAAAUACAGGUUGAAGAACUACCUUGCUGCACUAACACUUUUUCUAUUUAACAAGUACAAGUAUUUAGGACUCCAAAAAAGUAAUGGAUGCUGUGUUAGAGAUUGAACUGCCCAACAUUUAAUAAAGAUAAGCUGCACCUCAACCAGUAAACACAACAUGCUACGAACACAUUAUCUGUAUAAUACUUUCACCAAUUCCACAGCACGAAAGGCCACUUAAUAAAAAUCCCAUAAUAAACAAUCCUUUGCCAUGUCUUCUACCUAGUGCAACAUAUUCACGACCACUGUCCUCGCGUGUGUUUGCAGCUUGUCACCAGAUGUCGUUGUUGGUUACACUCUGAAAAAAAUGACAUCCAUUGUGAAAGUGACACUAAAACUCAUUCAAAUGUUCUCGUGGCGCAGCUUUCCUAUAUAAACAUUAAUUCAUUUUCGGUUGGCUGCCCGCACGGUAGGCUUAUAUUGGGGUUGAAGGGCAGAAGACAGGAUUUAGUGACUGAUGGCAGAUGGCGGUGUUAACAUUAGAGACAAGCCGAGGAGAUACUCCCCUAUUGUAAAUAAAGGAUUUAACGAUUCAAUCCUGGGUCAGGGGUUUGCUGUGUUUUUCAAAAUAAACACGUUUAAUAUUGCUGAAGCCACGCAGAACCAAAUCGUGACUCCUUUGAAGUGUCAUCGUGUGCGCAAGUGGGGUGUGUGCAGCCUCCUGCGUGUCAUGUGGGCUCAUUGUUUACAUGCUGUCGAGAUUUCACUCAGGGCGUGUGUGUGCGUUUUUGCGAUGUAAAACCACGGUCCCAGCUUUUAAGAGCUCACUAAUUGAUUUAAUGUUUGUUUUUUUCAAUAGGAGAGGAAAUAUUGUAGACUCUCAGGAUAACGUGUCACGAAUGGAGUUAGACCCAUUUCAGCACCAGGGCCAGCUCCACGGCGAGAACAAAAGGCGGAUUUGCAUCUCUUGAUGUCAGGGACCGUCUGCUUUUUUAGUGUCUACAAUAAAAACGAAAAAUAUGAUAAAUCCCUCAGAGAAAAAUCCUCAUGACUUCUUAACAGCCCUAUCUUUAAGCCUCUUCAAAUGUGAUUACCUAAAUUCUAACAUUAUCCAACUUAAAGCAUAUCCUAGCUGUAUGACUUCAUCCAAAAUGCUUUUAAGGCUUUGUUUUAGUUUGCGUCUUUGUAUUAUCAGGUUUAGUUCUUGUUAAACUCUUGCCGUGCAUCCAUUCCCUGUUACUGAACUUUACAGACUUAAUAUAAGAUGUCACCCUGGAAAAAAAGUUGGACUUCCAAAGGAACAUUUUUUGAAUAUAUAUAUUAAAUAAGUUCACCUCAACUGAGUUGGAAAAGUUGGUUUAUCAAUGAAUGCAAAAGGCCACAAAGUGCUAUGCAAAACAGAUGUAUCGCAAAACUUUGACAAUAAUUAGCCAUCCACAAAUGUAAUUCAAAUGUAAGAUGGGCAUGCUACAAGGUAGGAGUGGGACACAUAUUAUUAAACACCAUUUGUUUUGGAUAUCAAGGUAUCAACAGAUAGAAAAAACAAUGCAUACUCAUCUGACAUGACUAUGUUGCUAUAAUAGUUAUCAUUUGAGUAAUUUAAUGCCAAAAAUAGCUUAAAUGAAUAUUGGGUUGUUUUUCUAUGUCAUGAUAUUAAAUAGAAUAUCUUCAGGUUUGGACCAUCAAACAAAAACAAACAAUAUAAAUAUAUCAGUUUGGGAAAUGUGAUUGGAAAUUUACUGUACAGCUUUGUGAUAUUUAAUAUAUUCCACAAAUAAUCCAACAAGCCAAAUAGAAAAAUAAAUGUUGGGAAUACACAAUUUAAAAUACAGCCAGCCAUGUACAUACAUCAAACAAGUUUACAGUUCAUUUAUUGUACUUACAGUGUGGAAUAAUAGUUUGUACCAACAAGGGAAUGCAAAGAUUACGGUUUAACGCACAGGAAAUUACCCGUACCACUUACAGGGGGGACCUACUCUUUUUUUUCAAGAUCAUUUUUUGCCUUGUUUUUAUAUUAUAGCCAAAGAUAGACAGGGAAGGGAAAGGAGAAAGAGAGAAUAACAUGCAGCAAAGGGUGAGUACAUGUCCUUGCGCUACCAUUUGAGCUAACAGGUUCAUUCUAAUAGCCUAGCAUAAGAUAUAAGUUAACAGACAUUAGUUGAUACCUAUAGUCAACAUUAGGGUAUUUAGUCAGGGUUAUGACAUAAAUAAAUACCACUAAAUAGAUAAAACAUCUUUAAAUAUAGUGCAUUUGUAUUAUUAUGAGGUAGCUAGCUACUAUCAUUUAUAAUAAUCUUGUAUUUGAAGACAUUAUUGUCCAUUCAAGAAAAUGUGUUUUGGAUUAGGGCACCAAAAAAAAGAGAAACCGUGCACAAUAUUGAAGUCUGAUAGAGAAAAAAUACACAAGUCAGUAAUUACAGAACCUAACCUUAUAACGGAUACAUGCUAAUUAAGAAUGACAUGGCAGGCAUGACUGUAUUUCAUGUGUUCUCAUUACCUCCGGCUGACACGGGGCUGGUAAUUUUGCGACGGUCCCUGGCGGCAGACAUCACGGCUCGUUCAGCCAGGGGGGAGGAGGGAUGGAGCUGAGAUGGACAGGGAGGAGGGAGACACCGGCUUACGACGUCAAAUAAGUACACACACACACAUACACACUCACACAGCGAGCGGGAGAGGAGAGGACAGCCGACCGGACUGCCAAUUCCCCACGGUCUACUGAAGGGAGCCUCAAUUCAUCAUUCACAACACUCUUGAUUCAGCAGAGACGGACAUUUGUUUAUUUUUACGUCAGAUUUAUUUGGAAGGGGGAAAAAACACGGAGCAUCUGUCAGGGAAAAAACAACAAGCAGAUCUGGAAAAAGACGCUCAUGCCGAAUAAAGGACCGUCGCUGGAUGUUACUUGUGUUGUUAUAAGGGGGGUACAGGCCUAACUUGUUACAGGAUUCAAAGACGCUCGUACAGACAAAUGAACUGAAUUAUUGAGAUUCAAUAACUAAAUAACAGCGGGGGGGACGAAGAAAGACAUCCACGGAUCACGCCGAGUCUUUGCCACGAACAGCACCACAGACUUCUCAAUGAAGGAGCCUGACGCAAUCAAGCUCUUCAUCGGGCAAAUCCCCCGAAACCUGGAGGAGAAGGACCUGAAGCCCAUCUUCGAGCAGUUUGGAAAGAUCUAUGAGUUGACGGUGAUAAAGGACAAAUACACAGGGAUGCACAAAGGAUGUGCCUUCCUGACAUAUUGUGCACGUGAGUCCGCCCUCAAAGCCCAGAAUGCACUGCACGAGCAGAAGACACUACCCGGGAUGAACCGCCCAAUCCAAGUGAAGCCUGCAGACAGCGAGAGCAGAGGGGAAGACAGGAAGCUGUUUGUGGGCAUGCUGGGAAAGCAGCAGACGGACACCGAUGUGAAGAAGAUGUUUGAGCCGUUCGGCAGCAUAGAGGAGUGCACGGUGCUCCGCGGGCCGGACGGCACCAGCAAAGGGUGUGCAUUUGUAAAGUACCAGAGCAACGCAGAGGCCCAGGCCGCCAUCAACACUCUGCAUGGGAGUCGUACUUUACCAGGUGCCUCGUCCAGCCUGGUGGUGAAGUUUGCUGAUUCAGAGAAGGAGCGAGGGCUGAGGCGGAUGCAACAGGUGGCCUCUCAGCUGGGGGUCAUCAGCCCCAUGACCCUGCACCUCGGGGCCUACAACGCCUACACACAGGCCAAUAUCCAGACUCCCUCUCUCCCCUCCUAUCAAUCCCCCUCCCCCCUCUCCCUCCUCCAGUUGAUGCAGCAGCAGGCCCUGGUGGCUCAGUCGGCCUACCUCUCUCCUGUUGCCACGGUGGCGGCGGUUCAGAUGCAGCAGCUCGCCGCCCUCAACCCCAACAGCAUCAUCGCCACGCCGAUCUCAUCCAUCACCCCCUCCUCAGGUGCCAGCACUCCACCCUCCAUGGCCGGCACACCGGUUCCUGCUCUGCCUCCCCCCCUCACCGUGAACAGCUACGCCUCUUUGCCAGCUCCACCCAACGGCCAUUCAGCAACUGAAGCCCUGUACACCAACGGGGUCCAUGCUUACCAAGCUCAGAGUCCGGUGCUGGACCAUAUGCAGCAAGCUUACACCGGCAUGCAGCACUACACAGCCACCUACCCCGCUGCCUACAGCCUGGUGGGACAGCCGUUCCCCCACCAGCCCACCCUGUUGGCCCAGCAGCCGCAGCAACCGCAGCAGCUGCAGCAGCUGCAGCAGCGAGAAGGUCCAGAGGGAUGCAACAUCUUCAUCUACCACCUGCCGCAGGAGUUCACCGACUCUGAGAUCCUGCAGAUGUUCCUGCCCUUCGGAAACGUCAUCUCUGCAAAGGUCUUUGUGGACCGCGCCACCAACCAGAGUAAAUGCUUUGGUUUUGUAAGUUUUGACAACCCCUCCAGCGCCCAGACUGCCAUCCAGGCCAUGAACGGCUUCCAGAUCGGCAUGAAGAGACUGAAGGUGCAGCUGAAGAGGCCCAAGGAUGCCAACAGGCCUUACUGAAGGAGACUGUCCUGUCCAUACAUAUAUCGUGGAGACGUGCGUCGCUAUGGCUACGGUUGCAUAGCAACCGCUAAAACCUCCCCCCCUCUUCCUUCUCACUGCGUUGUAAAACCUAAGAGUUCAAUCAAGAAAACCACUUGGGAUGUCCCAGCCUUUUUUGGUUGUUUGACCAACCGUAUAGCACAGGAGCAACACUUCACGAAAGCAGUAUCACGUGUAUGCGCUUACAAAAACAACAGCAGUAAUAUCGGCGACAGAAUAAAUCUACAGAAACCGCAUCCUCAAUAUCAGAAGUGCUCCAGAUUUCCUAUCAUUCCACAGCUGGAUUCAAUUAUAUUAUGUACAUACUCUAUUGUCGGCAACAAGAUCUACAUGUUAAGAAAAAGCAUAUCAUGAUGUUAUUCUUCUGAACAGGGUUCUACUGUAUAGUGUGAUUUGUGGUCCAUGGCGUUAACAGAAGGCCAGUCUACAGUCGGAGGCAAAAGAAAAUACUAUUCUGUAUGAUUACCAUUGGUAAUAUUGUUAUGUAGAGUUAGUUUUAUUAUUUAUACGUAAAUUUAAAAAAAAACAAGGGGGAGAUUACACAGGAAGAGAUUUGGAUUUCCUCACUGUAUAUACCUUGAUUUAAAAAUGGAGUUUAAAGACUUCACAAGUUAAGAUUCUCUGCUGCCACUACUUUUCAAAUUAUCAAAGCGGAAGGAAUGGCUGGGAAUUUUUCUAUCUUGAUUUUUUACGUUUAAUUUAUUUGGUAAUCAAUUUGAUGAGGUUGGAUGGGUGGAGAUGUGACAAUUUCUUUUUUAAUUUAAGAAAAAAAAAGAGGAUUCCUGUGGUCUUCAAGACAAUGAACACACUUAUUAUAGAGUUUUUAAUUACAUAAAUGUACCUAUGGAAGUAAAAAAAAAAAACAUAAUGUUUCUUUAUUUAUUCUCUACAAUCGCUGUUUUAAAACAUAUGUCUUUAAAAGAAAAUAAAGUACAAUUUAGAAGAAAAAAAA